GAUGAACGCUGGCGGCGUGCUUAACACAUGCAAGUCGAACGAAGCACUUUAUUUGAUUUCCUUCGGGACUGAUUAUUUUGUGACUGAGUGGCGGACGGGUGAGUAACGCGUGGGUAACCUGCCUUGUACAGGGGGAUAACAGUUGGAAACGGCUGCUAAUACCGCAUAAGCGCCCGGCAUCGCAUGAUGCAGUGUGAAAAACUCCGGUGGUAUAAGAUGGACCCGCGUUGGAUUAGCUAGUUGGUGAGGUAACGGCCCACCAAGGCGACGAUCCAUAGCCGAGCAGAGAGGGUGACCGGCGACAUUGGGACUGAGACACGGCCCAAACUCCUACGGGAGGGAGCAGAGGGGAAUAUUGCAAAAUGGGCGAAAGCCUGAUGCAGCGACGGCGCGUGAGCGAAGAAGUAGUGAGGGAUGUAAAGCCCGAUCAGCAGGGAAGAUAAUGACGGUACCUGAAGAAGAAGCACCGGCUAACUACGUG
rnacentral:rRNA from 1 species